rnacentral:rRNA from 1 species
GAUGAACGCUGGCGGCGUGCCUAAUACAUGCAAGUCGAGCGAACGGACGAGAAGCUUGCUUCUCUGAUGUUAGCGGCGGACGGGUGAGUAACACGUGUAUAACCUACCUAUAAGACUGGGAUAACUUCGGGAAACCGUAUCUAAUACCGGAUAAUAUUUUGAACCGCAUGGUUCAAAAGUGAAAGACGGUCUUGCUGUCACUUAUAGAUGUAUCCUCGCUGCAUUAGCUAGUUGGUAAGGUAACGGCUUACCAAGGCAACGAUGCAUAGCCGACCUGAGAGGGUGAUCGGCCACACUGGAACUGAGACACGGUCCAGACUCCUACGGGAGGCAGCAGUAGGGAAUCUUCCGCAAUGGGCGAAAGCCUGACGGAGCAACACCGCGUGAGUGAUGAAGGUCUUCGGAUCGUAAAACUCUGUUAUUAGGGAAGAACAUAUGUGUAAGUAACUGUGCACAUCUUGACGGUACCUAAUCAGAAAGCCACGGCUAACUACGUG